rnacentral:rRNA from 1 species
AUACGUAGGGGGCAAGCGUUAUCCGGAUUUACUGGGUGUAAAGGGAGCGUAGGUGGCAAAUCAAGUCAGAUGUGAAAGCCCGGGGCUCAACCCCGGGAUUGCAUUUGAAACUGGUAUGCUAGAGUGCAGGAGAGGUAAGUGGAAUUCCUAGUGUAGCGGUGAAAUGCGUAGAUAUUAGGAGGAACACCAGUGGCGAAGGCGGCUUACUGGACUGGAACUGACACAGAGCCUCGAAAGCGUGGGGAGCAAACAGGAUGAUAUCCCCGGGUAUUCCACGCCGUAAACGAUGAAUACUAGGUGUCGGGGGGCAAAAGACCGUCGGUGCCGUCGCAAACGCAUUAAGUAUUCCACCUGGGGAGUACGUUCGCAAGAAGGAAACUCAAAGGAAUUGACGGGG